rnacentral:ribozyme from 14 species
GUCCAUGCUGGCACUUGCUGUUGCGGUGAUGCUGGGAGCAGCUGCGUGUGGGCAAGCAAUCCCCAACCCCAGGGACGCGACCAACGGCAGAUACUA